UAAAGAUGUCGUCUGGUGGUCAUUUGGCGGGCGUCUGGCGUGCACAAGAGAACGCUAAGUAACAAACUACAAGCAACGUCAGCAGCGACGGCUCUCUGAUGCCAUGAAAAAAGAGAGAGAAGACACACUACAUAUGGCUGAUGUCCCUGCUGCAGCAGACAGUCUACCUCCACUGCUCCCAGAUGUUUGUUCCAGUCCAUGCUGCCAGGCUACAGAAGUCCCUGCAUCUCACAGACACGGCUGCACCAGACAGUCGAACUCGACUGCUCCCAGAUGUUUGUUCGAGUGCCUUCUGCCGAGUACAGAAGUCCCUGCUUCUGGCAGACUCGGCUGCACCAUUGUCACAGGCCAUCUGCUGCCAGAUGGUUGUUGAAGCAAGCCGCUUACCAUCCAGCAGAGGAUGGCACCAUGAAGACGGUCCCCCAUGUCACGUCACGAGGACGGACAGGAACGACUGCACUGGCAACAAUGGCGAUGAAUAUCACCCAGGUGCACUGUGCGCUGAAGUGUUUUGAUGGCAAAGCAAAGUCACAAACGGAGUGGAUGCCUUCGAGAUUUGCACUGUGUACCAGAGUGUUUUGGUGGGAAAGCCAAGUCACAAGUCUACUCUCUGGUGAACUGGCCCCAUACGAAGAUGGGAGUGGCGGUGUACAGCUCCUAAGAUUAGGCCUUUGACCCUGUCAGCGAGUACUGGGUUGGUCUAACUGCCAUGUCACUGUAACAGGCCACCUCUUGACUUACAGAACGACUGCUCAAAAGGUUAGGCCUUGGACCCUGUCAGCGAGUACUGUGUAGGUCUUACUGUCACUGUCAUAGGCCAACACGUGACUCAGGGGGGAAACCUCAGAAGACGUGACUUUCCAUCAACGUCAGUGGCGCCUAAAACAUCCUUGGCAUGGCUGUCGACAACAAUCCAGUCACCAGCAGAGUUCUGCAGCAAGGCUGAACCUCUUCCAUCAAGGGUUAUAACGGCUCCCUGGCAGUCCUGGGCGUUGAACACCCUCCCCACGACGUCCCGAACUUUCCGAACUUUCUUUCAUCUGAAAAUAUAGAGAAUAUAAUUACUGCUAACAGAGACAUGCUGAAUUGUUAAGAGAAUACCUCAGCUUUACCUAUAUAAUAUUGAAAAUCCUAAUAUAAUAUCAUGAUGUCAUCUGUUAUAUAUACUUUACUCUUGUUCUAAUAAGUCUUAUAUAGCCCCAAGUCGAAAAUGGGCAAGGUAUUAUUAGCUGUUAAUUGCCAGUGCCAGUUUUUAUCAGAACAAGCGUUCGAAUUCCCUGGGUAUGCCAUAUUUUAAAAAAAAUUAACAACAAAUUUGCGAUGUGGUUAAUUUUUGGAGACUAUUCCCUCUUCUAAACUAACAAACUAAUAGGAUUGAUCUCAGUUGUUUUCACAGCUAAUCCUUGCACAGAGAAUCAAUCACUUUCUUAAAAUAACCUUUAACUAGUUUUAUGUUAAUCAUAUCCUUUUCUAUAAGAUUAAAUAUAUUGGCAUUUCCCUUUUCUAUAUAAUAUCAGUAAGGUCCGUUUUUCACAUCCCUCGUUAUAAUGCCAUAUUACGACGAAAAGUGGCAUUAUAACCAGGGGGGAAACCUCAGAAGACUUGACUUUCCAUCAACGUCAGUGGCACCUAAAAUUUCCAUGGCAUGGCUGUCGACAACCAUCCGGCCACCAGCAGGGUUCUGCAGCAAGGCCGAGCUUCUGCCAUCAAGGGUAAUAAUGGCUUCCUGGCAGUCCUGGGCGUUGAACACCCUUUCCACGACGUCCCGAACUUUCUUUCAUCUGAAAAUAUAGAGAAUAUAAUAACUGCCAACAGAGACACGAUGAAUAGUUCAGAGAAUUCCUCAGCUUUACCUAUAUAAUACUGUAAAUCCUAAUAUAAUAUCAUGAUGUCAUCUGUUAUAUAUACUUUACUCUUGUUCUAAUAAGCCUUAUAUAGCCCAAAGUCGUAAAUGGGCAAGGUAUUAUUUGCGUGUAAAACGUUUCAGUGACGAUAUUUGUACCAUGCUAAUCUGGCCUUCCAUGGCCUUUCCUCUGCUGUCAGAUGUUUGCUUCUGAUUUAUUUUCACUUUGGUUCACAGAAGACCCAAUUCCCAUCGUUCCGAGUACGGCGUCUAGUCCACAGAGCAACGUAUUUCAAUUAAAUAUACAGAUAUAUAAAACCAUAAAUAUAACAUGUAAUUCAGGGGAUGUCAAAUUGAAAGAGUGACUCGAAGGUUGAAUACAUCUAUCUACUCCUUGACACCUGCAACAGACUUAUUUGCAAAAGGUUGUAAGUGCAUGGUAGUAGAUGUAUUAGUUCCAUCGGCUGCACCAGACAUUGUCACAGGCCAUCGGCUGUCAGAUGGUUGUUGAUGCUAGCUGCUUCCUAUCGAGCAGAGGAUGGCUACAUGAAGGCGGUCCCCCAUGUCACACGUCAAGAGACGAGUCCAGAGACCGACAGGAACAUCUGCACUUGCAACAAUGGCGAUGAAUGUCACCAUGGUUUCACCGUAGUGCCUGAGUGUUUUGAUGGCAAAGCAAAGUCACAAAUGGCGGUGAAUGCCUCGAGAUUUGCACUGUGUACCAGAGUGUUUUGAUCGGAAAGUAAUGUCACAAGUCUACUCUCUGGUAAACUGGCCCCAUACGAAGUUGGGAGUGGCAGUGUACUGCUCGAAAGGUUAGGUCUUGGACCCUGUCAGCGAGUACUGGGUGUGUCUAACUGCCAUGUCACUGUAACAGGUCACCUUUUGACUUAUAGAAGGACUGCUCGAAAGGUUAAGUCUUGGACCCUGUCAGUGAGUACUGGGUCUGUCUAACUGCCAUGUCAGUGUAAUAAGCCACCACUUGACUCGGGGAAAGGAAACCUUUAGAAGACUUGACUUUCCAUCAACGUCAGUGGCGCCUAAAACAUCCUUGGCAUGGCUGUCGACAACCAUCCAGCCACCAGCAGGAUUCUGCAGCAAGGCUGAACUUCUGCCAUCAAGGGUUAUAAUGGCUCCCUGGCAGUCCUGGGUGUUGAACACCCUCCCCACGACGUCCCGAACUUUCUUUCAUCUGAAAAUAUAGAGAAUAUAAUUACUGCUAACAGAGACAUGAUGAAUUGUUAAGAGAAUACCUCAGCUUUACCUAUAUAAUACUGAAAACUCUAAUAUAAUAUCAUGAUGUCAUCUGUUAUAUAUGCUUUGUUUUUGUUCUAAUAAGCCCUAUAUAUCCUCUAGUCGUAAAUGGGUGACGAUGUUUCUACUAUGCAAAUCUUCCUUUCAAUGGCCUUUCCUCUGCUUUCAGAUGUCUGCUUCUGAUUUAUUUUAAUUCUGGUCGCGUCGUGCCGAGGACGGCGUCCAGUUCACGGAGCAACGUAUUUCCCAAUGUCCAUUAAAUAUAGAAAUAUGUAAAACCAUAGAUAUAACAUGUAAUUCAGGGAAUGUCAAAUUGAAAGAGUGACUCGAAGGUUGAAUACAUCUAUCUACUCUUUGAAACCUGCAACAGACUUAUUUGCCAAAGGCUGUACGUGCAUCGUAGCAGACCGUGUCUGUCUUUUCUGUAUUCUUCAGCCCUAGAACACUUCCGUUUCCGUGACCUUGACAGAUGGGGGGAAAACAAUGGUGUAGCAUUUUGUAAUAUGAAUAAUAUUGUAAACAAUAAUGUAGCAUUAUGUAAUAUCAACAAUAUUAUAAACAAGUGUGUAGCAUUAUGUAAUAUCAAUAAUAUUAUUAAGAUAUAGUUAUAGAAAACAUUUCUACAUAAUAAGAUAUCAUCGGAGAUUUAAGUUGGCAACGUCUUUUGUCCAUGUGUAUAUCAGUCAUUACUCCUAAGAAUAUUUUUCAGCGAAAGCUCACUACUUUUUCAUGUGUGAUAAGUUACAGUUUUCAAACAGCUCUUAUUCCGGGAGUACUUGUAUGAUGAACGGCUGAAUCUAAAAUUCUAUAUUUAGUAUUACUUACAACAGUGUACCUCAACCGGUACGAUUAACAUGCUAACAUAACAACACAAGUACUGCAGGAAUUCAGUUUUAUCUUCAUAAAACAUGUUGUGUCGUGUGAUUAUUUUGUGAAUUUCUUGAUAUGUGUGCUGCUGUACACUAGUGAUUUUUACCUCUUUAUAUAAAUACUGAAUUGAACAUUUGUCUUUCUCAUGAAAUUUGCCACUUUGGACCUCUUGUUCUUACGCUUCCUCUGUUCACUAGUGGCAACAUUGGCAUGCUUAGUGUCACUGUCAGCACGAAGAUGUCGUUCAAAUCCAACAUUACCAAAUCCAAAUUAGCAGUUGACGUUUGUGUCUGCUGGUACAGUUCAUACUGAGUAUGUGCAACCUAUUCAACUUGAACACUAUAGCCAAAAAAUAUGAUGAUGUAGAAAUAGAAUAUUGCUUUUAAUAUGUAUGUUAAUAAUGUGUUUUGUGCUUGAUGUGACAAUACUAUUGACUUCCUCAAUGAUAUGCAGUUAAUUAUGUUCUUUGUGUAAUUUAGAGUUUGUGGUCGUAAUAAAUAUAUAUAUCGUGUAA